GGUCCAAAACGAAGGCGUUUCUGAUAGCUUGCAUUAUCUUGCUUUCUACUCUUGCUAUGUUCACCGCUCCUACCUCGGCUCGACCACUAGUUGCCACAAUGAAAGCUAGCCGUGGGCUUCCAGAUCCAAGGCCAAGUCCUUUCUGCAAGAAAGUGCACGGCAAAACUGUGUGCGUGUGACGCUGAUAAUACAAGCCAAGAAAGGAAGGGAAAGAAACUAAUGAAAAAGGAGCCUAAUCUGAUUGUCUAUAAUAUAUCAGCAUCAGGUUUCGACUGAUGGUGUUUUUCCAGUUUAGGGUAUUUGUAAUUUGUGGUUAAGCGAUGCAUUAAGUGUAUUUGUUUUAGGAAAUAAAGCUGCCUCUGCCUAUUCCCUGUAAAAUCUAUAAUCAAUAGAAUUGUUUGGAUUUAA